GGCAGUGGUAGCUCAGUGGUUAGGACGUUGGGCUACUGAUCGGAAGGUCAUGAAUUCGAUCCCCAGCACCGCCA